rnacentral:lncRNA from 1 species
GUCCCAGGGAGGAGCAGGCUUUCCUUCUGCUUUGUAUGUCUGGAAAGAAGGUUGGUUAGGUGGGGAGGAAUGUGAGGAGGCUGGGUAACGCAUAAACAAAUGGAGUUUGUCUUCAGGGUUUGGAGGCUUGAGGGGGUCUAGGGAGUGUAGCUCCACUGGUAAAGUACCAACAUGCAGGAAGGCCCCUCAAGUUUGAGCCCCGGGGUGGCGUAAAACCAGACACGAUGGUGCACAUCCGUAAUCCCAGCACCGGGGCAGGUGGAGACAGGAGGAUCAGAAGAUCAAGAUCAAGGUCAUCCUUGGUGACAGAUCCCAAUCUACUGGGGAGGGAUCCUCGAGAGACCACCUGACACUGUGGAGCUGAGACACCAGCAUCCAAACUGUAGUAGUUUCCUGAGGAGGCAGCCCCUCUGAGCGCCAGCAUUUAAAGUGACAGUCACGCCCCAUGUAAACAACCUGGUUCCCACACCCUGCCUCGUUGUUGAGAUGCUCUGCCUUCACUGGGACCAGACUUGAUGGACUAAAGGACCGUGGGUGGAAAUCUCUAAACCAUGAGCUAAAAUAUGUCCUUUACCUGCCUUCAGAUGGGGUUUCUCUGUAUAGCCCUGGCUGUCCUGGAACUCACUAUGUAGACCAGGCUGGCCACAGAGAUCCGCCUGCCUCUGCCUCCCAAGAGCUGGGAUUAAAGGCGUGCACCACCAGUGCCCAGCCAAGUCCUUCAUUCUUUAAGUUGUUUCCAUCAGGUACUUUCUCAC